AAACGGGAAGAGAACCAACAGGGAUUGCCUCAGUAACGGCGAGUGAAGCGGCAAGAGCUCAAAUUUGAAAGCUGGCUCCUUCGGGGUCCGCAUUGUAAUUUGCAGAGGAUGCUUCGGGAGCGGUCCCCAUCUAAGUGCCCUGGAACGGGCCGUCAUAGAGGGUGAGAAUCCCGUAUGGGAUGGGGUGCCCGCGACCAUGUGAAGCUCCUUCGACGAGUCGAGUUGUUUGGGAAUGCAGCUCUAAAUGGGUGGUAAAUUUCAUCUAAAGCUAAAUAUUGGCCGGAGACCGAUAGCGCACAAGUAGAGUGAUCGAAAGAUGAAAAGCACUUUGAAAAGAGAGUUAAAAAGCACGUGAAAUUGUUGAAAGGGAAGCGCUUGCGACCAGACUCGCCCGCGGGGUUCAGCCGGUAUUCGUACCGGUGUACUUCCCCGUGGGCGGGCCAGCGUCGGUUUGGGCGGCCGGUCAAAGGCCCUCGGAAUGUAACGCCUCUCGGGGCGUCUUAUAGCCGAGGGUGCCAUGCGGCCAGCCCGGACCGAGGAACGCGCUUCGGCACGGACGCUGGCAUAAUGGUCGUAAGCGACCCGUCUUGAAACACGGACCAAGGAGUCUAACAUCUACGCGAGUGUUCGGGUGUCAAACCCGUGCGCGCAGUGAAAGCGAACGGAGGUGGGAACCCUUUGGGUGCACCAUCGACCGAUCCUGAUGUCUUCGGAUGGAUUUGAGUAAGAGCGUAGCUGUUGGGACCCGAAAGAUGGUGAACUAUGCCUGAAUAGGGCGAAGCCAGAGGAAACUCUGGUGGAGGCUCGCAGCGGUUCUGACGUGCAAAUCGAUCGUCAAAUUUGGGUAUAGGGGCGAAAGACUAAUCGAACCAUCUAGUACCUGGUUCCUGCCGAACUACCCCCCCCCGGGAAGGAA
rnacentral:rRNA from 1 species